rnacentral:rRNA from 1 species
AUUGAACGCUGGCGGCAGGCCUAACACAUGCAAGUCGAGCGAGCGGCGGACGGGUGAGUAAUGUAUGGGGACUGCCCGAUAGAGGGGGAUAACUACUGGAAACGGUGGCUAAUACCGCAUACUAUCGGAUAACCCAUAUGGGAUUAGCUAGUAGGUGGGGUAAAGGCUCACCUAGGCGACGAUCUCUAGCUGGUCUGAGAGGAUGAUCAGGCACACGUGGAACGAGACACGGCCCCGACUCCCACGGUGGGAGCAGGGGGGGAAAGUGGCCCAUUGGCGCAAGCCCGAUGCCGCCCAUCCCGGGGUAAGAAAAAGGCCUUAGGGUUUGUAAGUAACUUCAGCGGGGAGGCGUUACCCGCAGAAGAAGCACCGGCUAACUCCGUGCCAGCAGCCGCGGUAAUAC